AAAAAUAUUUUGAACAGCAAACAAAAAAAAAAAAACUUAUUAAAAUAUUUAAAAAGAAAAAAAUUGGAAUUUCAAUUCCUUUGACAUUUUCCAAUCUAUUGAUGCUGAAAAUUGUAUUCAAAGAUUCCUGCCAUGGCGUGUUUCCCAAUAAAGGAUUAUAACUGGAAAAAGGUCACAGCUUGUUUGAAAAGGGUAAAAAAUGCCAAACUCUUCUCUCUCUGGGGUGUCCGACCGAGCCAACCCAAAGCGGACAAAGAAACGGCAGAAAAUAUCAUAAAUGUGUUCAAUUUUGAAGGUAAUAACAUGGGAUUAUCAGCAUCAAAUAAGUGAGUAAUUUGGAUUUUCAUGGAAACGAAAUUUGAAGUUGAAUACUUAAACAUCAAUUCAUGGCAAUUCAAACAAUGAAAAUGCAGCCAAAAUUUUUAACAAAAUUAUCUCAAGAUUUGUAUGCAGAGUUUACAAUGGGCCUUCUCUAGCAGAUGAUUGGGAAUACAGUACCACGCUUUUCUACAUUUGCUCUACGUUCAUAAUCAUCUGUGUUUUUAUUGAAAUUAUAAAGAAAUUAAAUUUUGUAACACAGUGUAAUUA